GAUGAAGAACGUAGCGAAAUGCGAUAAGUAAUGUGAAUUGCAGAAUUCAGUGAAUCAUCGAAUCUUUGAACGCACAUUGCGCCCGCCAGUAUUCUGGCGGGCAUGCCUGUCUGAGCGUCAUUUCAACCCUCAUGCCCCUAGGGCGUGGUGUUGGGGAUCGGCCAAAGCCCGCGAGGGACGGCCGGCCCCUAAAUCUAGUGGCGGACCCGUCGUGGCCUCCUCUGCGAAGUUGUGAUAUUCCGCAUCGGAGAGCGACGAGCCCCUGCCGUUAAACCCCCAACUUUCCAAGGUUGACCUCAGAUCAGGUAGGAAUACCCGCUGAACUUAAGCAUAUCAAUAAGCGGAGGA
rnacentral:misc_RNA from 1 species